UAUGAACCUAUAGAGGCCAUUCUCAU
rnacentral:misc_RNA from 1 species